rnacentral:rRNA from 1 species
UGGGUGGCGAGUGGCGGACGGGUGAGGAAUACAUCGGAAUCUACUUUUUCGUGGGGGAUAACGUAGGGAAACUUACGCUAAUACCGCAUACGACCUACGGGUGAAAGCAGGGGAUCUUCGGACCUUGCGCGAUUGAAUGAGCCGAUGUCGGAUUAGCUAGUUGGCGGGGUAAAGGCCCACCAAGGCGACGAUCCGUAGCUGGUCUGAGAGGAUGAUCAGCCACACUGGAACUGAGACACGGUCCAGACUCCUACGGGAGGCAGCAGUGGGGAAUAUUGGACAAUGGGCGCAAGCCUGAUCCAGCCAUACCGCGUGGGUGAAGAAGGCCUUCGGGUUGUAAAGCCCUUUUGUUGGGAAAGAAAUCCAGCCGGUUAAUACCUGGUUGGGAUGACGGUACCCAAAGAAUAAGCACCGGCUAACUUCGUGCCAGCAGCCGCGGUAAUACGAAGGGUGCAAGCGUUACUCGGAAUUACUGGCGUAAAGCGUGCGUAGGUGGUUGUUUAAGUCUGUUGUGAAAGCCCUGGGCUCAACCUGGGAACUGCAGUGGAAACUGGAUAACUAGAGUGUGGUAGAGGGUAGCGGAAUUCCCGGU